rnacentral:misc_RNA from 1 species
AGCUAAUUCUGUUCAGCAAUGGUCCCCGAUUUGUGGCGGAGCUCGAUCGAAUCAGCUUCGAGGUUGCUUUGGCCUCCAGUUAAGAUCGAAGAGCUCUUUUGCUUCUACAGGAAUAAAAGCUCAGGUUGCUACAGCAGAACAAGCAAGCGUUAAGGAAGGCCAGCAAGUGGAAGCGCCUGUGGCUAUUGUGACAGGAGCCUCGAGAGGAAUUGGAAGAGCCAUCGCAUUGAGCUUGGGAAAGGCCGGUUGUAAGGUCCUGGUUAAUUAUGCUAGAUCGUCAAAGGAGGCUGAGGAAGUUUCUAAAGAGAUUGAGGGCUUUGGUGGGCAGGCUAUAACUUUUGGUGGAGAUGUGUCAAAGGAGGCUGAUGUAGAUUCAAUGAUCAAGACAGCCAUUGAUGCUUGGGGAACUGUUGAUAUAUUGAUCAACAAUGCAGGAAUUACACGUGAUGGCUUGUUGAUGAGGAUGAAGACAUCUCAAUGGCAGGAGGUGAUUGACCUGAAUCUUACUGGUGUUUAUCUCUGCACUCAGGCAGCAUCCAAAAUUAUGAUGAAAAAGAAAAAGGGAAGA